rnacentral:misc_RNA from 1 species
AACGCACAUUGCGCCCCUUGGUAUUCCAUGGGGCAUGCCUGUUCGAGCGUCAUUUACACCCUCAAGCUCUGCUUGGUGUUGGGCGUCUGUCCCGCUUCGUGCGCGGACUCGCCCCAAAGGUAUUGGCAGCGGUCUUGCCAGCUUCUCGCGCAGCACAUUGCGCUUCUCGAGGCUCCGGCGGAUCGGCGUCCAUCAAGCCCACAUCACAGUUUGACCUCGGAUCAGGUAGGGAUACCCGCUGAACUUAA